rnacentral:rRNA from 1 species
AUGCAUAUCAAUAAGCGGAGGAAAAGAAACCAACAGGGAUUGCCCUAGUAACGGCGAGUGAAGCGGCAAUAGCUCAAAUUUGAAAGCUGGCCUUCUGGUCCGCAUUGUAAUUUGUAGAGGAUGCUUUUAGGCAGCCGCCGGUCUAAGUUCCUUGGAACAGGACGUCAUAGAGGGUGAGAAUCCCGUAUGUGACCGGCUCUGGCACCUUCUGUAAAGCUCCUUCGACGAGUCGAGUUGUUUGGGAAUGCAGCUCUAAAUGGGAGGUAAAUUUCUUCUAAAGCUAAAUAUUGGCGAGAGACCGAUAGCGCACAAGUAGAGUGAUCGAAAGAUGAAAAGCACUUUGGAAAGAGAGUUAAAAAGCACGUGAAAUUGUUGAAAGGGAAGCGCUUGCAAUCAGACUUGGACUUGACUGUUCAACCGGUCUUCUGACCGGCCCACUCAGUCUCGUCCAGGCCAGCAUCAGUUUCGGCGGCCGGAUAAAGGCCUUGGGAACGUGGCCGCCUCUUCGGAGGCGGUGUUAUAGCCCAGGGUGUAAUACGGCCAGCCGGGACUGAGGUCCGCGCUUCGGCUAGGAUGCUGGCGUAAUGGUUGUAAGCGGCCCGUCUUGAAACACGGA